UCCCAAAUCAAUAUGGUUUACUAUUCUCAAACUUAACAACAAACGCAGGAAACAUAUAUCUACUGCAUCUCCAAAAACACAAGUAGUUUUAGUUACUAGGUUCUUCAUUUUCUUCAUUUGAUCUAGAUACAACUUGCAAGUGUGUGAUAGGGAAAUGCUUGUUAGGCUAUCUAGAAAUACUUAGUUGGCCUUCUGCUGCUUAUCCUAAAAUUCUUAGAGGUAUGAAAAAAGAAAGAAAGAA